AUUGAACGCUGGCGGCAGGCCUAACACAUGCAAGUCGAGCGGAUGAAGGGAGCUUGCUCCUGGAUUCAGCGGCGGACGGGUGAGUAAUGCCUAGGAAUCUGCCUGGUAGUGAGGGAUAACGUCCGGAAACGGGCGCUAAUACCGCAUACGUCCUGAGGGAGAAAGUGGGGGAUCUUCGGACCUCACGCUAUCAGAUGAGCCUAGGUCGGAUUAGCUAGUUGGUGGGGUAAAGGCCUACCAAGGCGACGAUCCGUAACUGGUCUGAGAGGAUGAUCAGUCACACUGGAACUGAGACACGGUCCAGACUCCUACGGGAGGCAGCAGUGGGGAAUAUUGGACAAUGGGCGAAAGCCUGAUCCUGCCAUGCCGCGUGUGUGAAGAAGGUCUUCGGAUUGUAAAGCACUUUAAGUUGGGAGGAAGGGCAGUAAGUUAAUACCUUGCUGUUUUGACGUUACCAACAGAAUAAGCACCGGCUAACUUCGUG
rnacentral:rRNA from 1 species